UCUGCUUCAGUCGAAAGAACUCACUACCAGAGCACUGCUCGCUCCUCCCUCUAUUCUUCAACCAUAUGCUUCAUCAAUUUUCCCUAUGGUUUUCAAUUAUCAUCACGAUUCACGAUUAGGGUUGGCUUUCCAAUUCAUCAUCCAUCUCUGCUUCUGCCUUUACCAGAACCAAUUUCAAUUUUCAUCCACCCGCUUCUGUCAAAACCAGUACCAUUGCUCGCGACCCUCUCCCCCUUCAUCCAUCUGCUUAGGGUUUCCAAUUCAUGCUCGAAUCCAGACUAGGGUUUUGCCCUCUGGCCUUAGCAGGUGGACGCGCGGCAACUUAUCUUCGAAAUCGGCACUACAUUGGCCAAACACACUCGCCUAACCAACGAUUUCAUUGUCAAAUCCAACCGGCAAGUCAUAGAUGCUUUAGCGUGCUUGGAACAGUCUUAUAGUUAUGCUUGAGUUGCUGCAAGGAUGUCAGAAUCAGCUAAAAUAUUGGUGAGUUCUUGUAAGCCUCUAAGGAAAUCUAGAAUUAAUGGUCGGUGUGAGACUUCUAUUAGCUAUAUGUGCCAGUAACAUUUUGCGAGUCAUGGUCCCAGAACUACUUUUUGAGAACAAGUAUUUAAAGGUAACAAAUGAUUUAUUUUGAUGAAAUGUAUAUUCAUCACAUGGCGACUACUCUCCCCACUAUACCCAGGUUCAUCUUUAUGUUUACUAUGCAAUUUAUCCAUUUUUUUUAAAUGAUCUUUUAAAAUUAUUUUCACUCAAAAGGUCAAAAUACUAGAGACAGUGGUCGGACGUAAAUAUCAUUAUAAUGCUUGAUAUUGGAUGCAACGCCUUGGUAUUGGAGAUGUUUAAUACAUCUUUCUCCACUUUGAGGUCAAUACCCCUUAUCGGUAUGUUUAAUAAAUUUUACAAAAUUUCCUUUUAUGCCAAUUUUUUAAAUUCUCUUUUUUGUAAAUUAUGUUCUAAAUUCAAGGCAACGACCCCUAGGACUAGUUUGAGUUUGUCUUUUAAGUUUUCACUUGUGAUACCCUUCCCACGGUAGCUACAACGCACAUGAAUAUUUACUACUGAAAAUUGAAGCUCAUAUUGAUCAUUUAAGACAUAAAACGGCAAAUGAAAGGUGAGCUACCACUUGUCCUUCACGUUUUUGAGAUAUCAGAUGGUUUGGUAGACAACUUAUUUUGGCCUUUAGUCAAAUCAAUACUGUUAAGACCACAUACAUGCUAUGUGAAACAUUUUCUUUUAUUUUAUGCAACUAAUGGCAAAUUUAAGUGUUAUAUUCUUGCGUCUUUUGUAAAUAAUGCCUUAGACCAAUGCCCUUGUAAUGCUAGACAUUUGGACAGGAAAAGUGAAGAAGCUUCAUGAUUUUUGUUUGAUUUGAUCCAAGUAAGAGUUCAUAUAAUUUUCAUUCUCUGUUACGGUAUAAGUCUGACCAUGGUCUACUUCUACUUUUCUUAGUGGAACUCUGGAAUGUACUAUUAUCAAAGGUUGGACUUCUAUGAUUGAUGUUAGCCAGUUGACAAAUAUAUAUAAUUAUCAGAGAGAGGUGGUGGGUGGAAAUACACAAAUAAGAUUGAUUUCUGCAUGGAGGUAUGCAACAAUAUCGCAACAUACUAUACUUCCUUAGUUCAAUUCUUAAACCCUUUGUUCUUAUAGGGUAAGACCUACAGAAGUAUUUGGAUUUAACUUCACAGAAGUAAGUGUCGGGUUGGUGUUUUCAUGUAACCAUUCAAUCUUUUACUGGUAUCUAUUGGAGUUUAAUUGUGUUUUGACUUUCGACAUUUCUAUUAUGAUGAUAUGAUUUUUUGGAUCAUUGCACAUUCUUGUACUUACUACUGCCUUUUUCCUAGUUCCCUCUUUCCAGUCCAGAAAUGGAUCAUCUGACGUGGAAGAAAAUAUACAUAUAUUUACAAAGCUAUAUAUGGCAGGAAAGGAAAUAUAGUCCUCAUCUUUGGACUGGACAGACAGGUGAGAACUGACCCUUGCCGGUGCAAAUUUCCGCAUUACUGCCAUUCUCAGAGAUAAAUGAAAAGGCUUAACCGUAGAAUUGGUAGCAGUUUUCAUUUUUCUUUAUUUAUCCAUCAUAUUAUUGCAUAUGGUUCUGUAAUCUAAGAUUUUAUAGAGUUGUCUUGGUAAAAAAUAAAAAUAAAAA